CAGCCGCCACGGGAAUACGUAGGGUGCGAGCGUUAAUCGGAAUUACUGGGCGUAAAGCGGGCGCAGACGGUUACCUAAGCAGGAUGUGAAAUCCCCGGGCUCAACCUGGGAACUGCGUUCUGAACUGGGUAACUAGAGUGUGUCAGAGGGAGGUAGAAUUCCACGUGUAGCAGUGAAAUGCGUAGAGAUGUGGAGGAAUACCGAUGGCGAAGGCAGCCUCCUGGGAUAACACUGACGUUCAUGCCCGAAAGCGUGGGUAGCAAGCAGGAUUAGAUACCCCCGUAGUCCCUGUCUCUUAUAC
rnacentral:rRNA from 1 species